rnacentral:rRNA from 1 species
GUGAGGAAUUUUCCGCAAUGGGCGAAAGCCUGACGGAGCAAUGCCGCGUGAAGGAUGAAGGCCUAUGGGUUGUAAACUUCUUUUCUCAGAAAAGAAUUAUGACGGUAUCUGAGGAAUAAGCAUCGGCUAACUCUGUGCCAGCAGCCGCGGUAAGACAGAGGAUGCAAGCGUUAUCCGGAAUGAUUGGGCGUAAAGCGUCUGUAGGUUGUUUAAAAAGUAUUCUGUCAAGGAUUAGGGCUUAACCCUAGAUAGGCAGAAUAAACUUUUAAGCUAGAGUUUGGUAGAGGCAGAGGGAAUUCCCGGUGGAGCGGUGAAAUGCGUAGAUAUCGGGAGGAACACCAAAGGCGAAGGCACUCUGCUGGGCCAAUACUAACACUGAGAGACGAAAGCGAGGGGAGCAAAUGGGAUUAGAAACCCCUGUAGUCC